AUGGCGGGGUGGGCACGGCGAGCGGAGCUGCUCGGUGCGGGCUCCGCAGGGAGCGGGCUCGGCGGGACAGGGUUCCCCUCAGGGCGGGCGCAGAGCGGCUGUGGCCCCGGCGGAGGCAGGGGCUGCCCCGACCCGCCCCGCGGUGCAGAUGUGGCGGGACGAAGCCGUGGUGCCCCGGGUGGAGGGGAAGGCAUAGGCUGAGGUGCCGUGCCCAGCCCAGCCUUGUCCCGCGCCCUGCCUUGGAGCCCGGCAGGGGAGGGCGGCGUCCCACACCCCACAGGCUUGCCUGCUGCACACGAGGGUGCUGUGCUCUUGGAAAACAUCCCAGCGAAACCUCCCAACGGCAGCUUUUUGAAAACACCCUACCCUGUCAUACUGGAGGGGGUCCACCAGAGGGUCAUAAAGAUGAUUAGGUCUGGAUGCAUCUCUUAUGAGAAGAGACUGCAGGAACCGGGCCUCUUCAGUCUGGAGAAGACUGAGGGGAAUCUCAUCAAAGCAUAUAAAUAUUGCAAAGAGCAUAGGCUCUGGAGUGCAGCUGCAUGAUGAUACAAUCCCUGGAUACACAGAAAUAGCUCAAAAAAAAUUAUUAGAGAAAACAAUGGGCUAGAUGAGCACAUUGACAAAUGCAUAGGCUGUAUUCCUCGUAUCCUGCUCGCAGACUCCUGAAUGGUAGAAAGGGAAACUCUCUGUAGUGGUCAUGAGAAGGUGAGUUAAUUACAUAUGUGCCAGAGAUACAGUCAUGUCAUGAAUGCAAAAUUUUAGAGGCAGUUGGAUGAUCCUGCAGAAAGCAUCCCUGGGGAAGGGCUCCCAGGAGCUGACAUUGACCUGUCUCCAGAACUGAACUGUGCUGGGUUGCACAGUGUUGAGUGCCCUCUUACCAUGCCUGGGUAUUAGCUACAGAGGGGGCUGUUUAUUGCAACUUCAUGGGAGGGAGAAGAGUCCCUCAGGAGUGACGUGAGGUAAUGAAUAAAGUCACUCUGAAGUCUAAUGAGGUGCUCUGCUAAACUGGCCAUUAUUUGGUUGCCACGGUUAUAGUCAUUGGGAUUAUUUUCCUGAAAUACUGCAUUUCAUUCUUGUGAGAAAAAAAAUAUGGAAAAGAUAGAGAAAUGUCUGCCCUCUUUUAGAACUGUGAUAUUGUUAUGAAAGAUGACCUCCAAAAGGAGAAGAAAGCAGGUUCCAGAAAUCUUACAGCCAAGUUGCUGUUCUCUAAAAUUGCUGAUGCACAGAAAACACCAGAAGUGUUUCCUUACAGAGAAUUAAAUUUGGCCAAUAAGCUGAGUUUUAAUAUAGCACAAUUUAAACUUGAAUUAUAGGAGGGUAAAUGUCAAGGUAUGUUUUUAAAAAAAAUAUUUUAUCUUAAACUAUUUUUUAUAUUCUUUACCAUCAUUUGGUUUUCCACUGAUUUUGGGUUUGACUAUUUAAUAUAGGCCUUUGUGUAAUUAUUUUGAUCUCUAUUUCACAAACAUAAAGAGAGAAAAAGGAAAAGUGCAUAUAGAUUAUCAUCACAGUGCUUGGAAGUUUUUUUUCUUUCUCUUUUGCAAUUAGUUGAAAUAAUAGAACCUGAGGGAGAAAAUUGUUAUUUUUGUAUUGUGUAAUAUAUCAGAUAUAGAUGUGAUUAAUGAUCUAAUCCAGCGAUUAAAAUCAAGAAAUUCCAUUUCUGUCUCUUACCAGUAAUUACUGUGUUGGAAACACUGAUGGCUGUUACUGUAUUGAAAAAUGAAGACUUGAAUUCUAAAAUAUUUUUUCUUAGCUUGUGCUUGAAGCUAAGAUAAAACAAGAUACUUGUAUUAAUAAAAAAAGCAUGAAAAUUAUUUUUUACAUUAAAGACAUAUUUUGCUGGGAUUCUGAGAUAAAAACUCAGGUAUACUACUGGUAGUAUUGAAGAAUACAGGAGGAGGAUGGGGUGGCAGAUGAAGCACAGUCAUGCUCUGUCUUUGGGUCACUUUAUUUUGGCCCUCUUCGCCAUGCACGGAGACCCUGCAAGCAAGAGCUGUGCAGUUUGAAUGUGCAAAGUAGUGUUCAGUUUGUCCUUGAAUUCUAAUAUCAGAUUUCCUAAUGUAAACAUACAGUAGGAAAAUCAAUUGAACACUACUUUAUAAUGUCUUCAUGUUAAAUACUGCCCUGUACAGCUCUGGUGAUCAAAGGUAAACACAAAUAAAGACUAUUUUGUGUUUUAAUGCCUCGAAGAGUUUAUUCACUUCUGACUGCUUGUGUUUACCCAGUUCUAUGCCUGCCUCAACUUCGAGGAGAGACGAACAUCACAAAAAUUCUUUAUUCCUGUGACCAGAUGACCUAAUUGAAGUUAGGCUGGGAAAGAGACUGCUUCUCUUUCCUACAGUCUGUAAAACAGGGGUUUUGUGGAUGAGGUGUGUAACAGGCCACCACAUACUAGUAUUGGUAGGCUGCUUAAUGCUGUUCCCUGCUGUUCUCUGAGCUGGAUCCCCAGUUGCUGACCACAGACAGUAGGCAAGAUGAUUAUUAGAGGAGAAAGUGAAGACUAUUAGCACUGAUGAAUAAUAAAUUUCAAUAACUUAUUCUUCUGGAGGAAAAGACCUCGGGGCUGCUGCUUAUUCUGAAGGUCUGCUUGAUGUGGUGAGGAAGAAUGUGAUGAUAUUUAUCUGGGAACAGCAGAAAUGGUGGCGGUUCCCAAACAUCUGAUAGGAGACAGUGGAACAAAGGACAGGGCUGACACAAGUGCCAUUUCAUCACAGCAUGCCCCAAUCCAACAGCACUGUUUCCUGGGAGAUGGAACAACACUGCGUGCCUAUUAAUCAUGAGAAGCUCUCUGCUGUUCUCACAAGUCCUCCAAAACCUGUCUAACUCGAGUGGGCGAGGAUCAGCCCAUCCAUGACAAAGUACUGCAGCUUUAUCUUACAUACUGUAUAUUAUCAAAAAUGUUAUGUCUGCUCUGAACAAAAUGUCCAAGUGUGAGAAAUGUGGGCAAUGUUCCAAGAAACUGGGCUUGUCUUAAUGAGAAAAUUGUACUUAAAAUCAAAUUUUAAGUUAAUUCAUUGUAAUCAGCCUAAUCUACAGACCUGCACAAGACACUCUUUUUUUUGUAAAUAUUGCUGUCACACUCACUGAAAUUAAUGUUUUGUGCAGAUUAGUGUGCAGCUAACUAAAUUGCUUUGAAACCUUAUCAAAUUUACUGUGACUUUCUCCUGUAACUAUGGUUAUAUGCUGUGGUCUUCUUUAUAUUGAACCCAUUCAGUUCCCUCUGUUAUUAUAAAAAUGUAGGUGCUUUAGGAAAGCUUUCAGCGAAGCAACAGGCCUCUUCUCCCCUCCCAGGAGAGCCUACAUUUCUAGAGGUUACAGAAGGAUUUGUGUAGUCCUGACUGUGAAAAGUACAGCCAUACUCUGUUCAAACUGCAUAAGAUAGGCCUCACUGCUGGAAUUAAUCUAAGUUUGACAUGGUACAAGCCAGAGUUCAUGAUAUAGCUCUUUUCAUUGUUGAGAAUCUUGGUAGAGCAAUGCUAAUGGAUAAUUCACUCUUUUGUAAAGUGUAGAAUUCCAGCAGAAGGCAAAACUGUCAGAUCUACAUUUUUUUCUCAUACAUCCAAGGAAAUAAUGAAAGUUUUCUUGGUAAGUAAGCUUUUCAUUGAGGAAAUACAAGCAUCAAAUACUUUAAAAUCAUUAAAAAUCUGUCCACUGUGUGCUUAUUCUCUGAUAUUAUGUUUGAUCAUCAGUGAUCUACAUUUUAUUGUGUUUUACUAUUUGAACUGCAUUAUGAGAUGAAAAGCUAAGGCACUGUUAAAAUGUACGUUAGGUUAGAAAAAGCACUGUUCAGAAUGUCACAAGAGUCAUUUAAAAGAAGCUUGUUACCGUGACAUUCAUAUCUAACAUCAAUGUUCUGGGGUUAGUUUUUAUCUCCAACGAUAAUGGUAGUAAUUUUAAAUUUAAAAAAAGAAAGAAAAAUCUCAUUCCCAGGGAAGGGCCGAAGUAUGAAAGCAGAAUUAUUUCAGUGACCCAGUGAGAAAAUUCUGCCAGCAAAGUCUUUGUUACUUGUUUAUGUAGUCUUGUGUAAACCAAAAAUAUGUUGUUUAUUUAAAAGAUGCAAUGUAUGUUUUAUGUUGUCUCUUCCAACUAUGUAUGUUGAAUAUAUUUUACUUUACAGAAACCUUUGAGGCAAUUAUUCAAUAAUUUGGCAGGAAGUAACUUAGCGACCAUUAAGUAGUCCUCCAAACAAGAUGUAUCUUUUUCUGCAAGUUGUUAAAUUUAUGAAAGGUAAACCUAAAAGUGUAAGUAAGUACAGUUAAGUAAGAGACAAAAAGAGUGUGCUAUGUUUCAAAAGAGCUUCUCUUCUACUUUUACAAUUGUGAGAAGCAGUUCAAGGAUUACAAUCCAUUUAUCAUUACAUCCAUCUACUGCUUGAACUGCUACAUUUCUUUUUUAUUUCUUAGGCAGAUAUUACAACAUGUAUGACAUAGCCUAGGAUUAUUUUUACUACAUAAGCGUCAUACUGUUUGUGUCUGAAAUAACAUCAUUAUUUCAGACACAUUAUUACCAUACCACUUCUUGACUUAAACUUACUGAAGUCACUUUUUUUUUUAACAAAAGAAAGGGCUGCUAGAUCAGAAGAUCCUAGAGCAAUUGGUAAGGAAUUUGUUCAGCACCAGGUAAAAGCAGCACCUAAGAAACAGCUAUAAUUCAGUAUGUUGGAAACAUAACCUUUCCCAGGACUGAUCUGUUCCUGAUUUCACUGAAAUUAAAGGCUGUCUUCUGCCCAGUUUUUGUAGCAGAGGAGUUAGGCUUACAAGAACUCAGUAAAUGCCCUGGUGAUGCACGAAUUAGGCUGUUGCAGCGUGACUCAAGCAACGCUGACUUAGGCUAAAAGAGGAUCUACUCUAAUAAGCAGGGUUAUGUUUUUGUCCUUGGUAACAUGACUGUGACUUACACAGCAAUAUGACAGAGAUUUACACUGUGCUCUUUUCAAGAGGCAAAAAUUUCCCACAAUGUAUUUGGUUUGUGUGGCAAAGUUUUGGUAGCAGAGGGCUACAAUUGUGACUUCAAUGUGAAGCUGAUAGGAGAUUUUCCUGUAUUGGACAGAGCCAAUGUCAGCUGGAUCCAGGAUGGACUCACCACUGGCCAAGGCUGAGCCCAUCACUUGUGGUGGUAGAACCACCAGGAUAACACAGUUAAGAAGGGGGUAAAAGUUAUUGGUGGAAGCAAUUGUAGCCAGAUAAGACAGGAGUGAGAAUGUGUGAGAAAAACAUCCCUGCUGACAGCAAGGCCAGAGAAAAAGGAGGCAGAAGAGGUGCAUCAGGCACUGGAGCAGACAUUCAUUCCCCUGCAGCCCAUGGUGAGGCAGAUGUUCCCCUGCAGCCCAUGGAGAUCCACAGUGGAGCAGAGAUCCACCUGCAGACUGUGGAGGACCCCAUGC